GAUGAACGCUGGCGGCGUGCUUAACACAUGCAAGUCGAACGGAAAGGCCCUGCUUUUGUGGGGUGCUCGAGUGGCGAACGGGUGAGUAACACGUGUGUAACCUGCCCCUGACUUUGGGAUAACUUCAGGAAACAGGGGCUAAUACCGGAUAGGAGCUCUUGAUGCAUGGGGGGGGUUGGAAAGUUUCGGCGGUUGGGGCUGGACUCGCGGCUUAUCAGCUUGUUGGUGGGGUAGGGGCUUACCAAGGCUUUGACGGGUAGCCGGCCUGAGAGGGUGACCGGCCACAUUGGGACUGAGAUACGGCCCAGACUCCUACGGGAGGCAGUAGUGGGGAAUAUUGCACAAUGGGCGGAAGCCUGAUGCAGCAACGCCGCGUGCGGGAUGACGUCCUUCGGGUUGUAAACCGCUUUCGCCUGUGACGAAGCGUGAGUGACGGUAAUGAGUAAAGAAGCACCGGCUAACUACGUG
rnacentral:rRNA from 1 species